UCAGUACCCUUGGCUUGCGCCUCUGACAACACAUUUUUUACGUUUUCACGAGGUUUGUCGAGUUCAUCGACAACCCUCUCCUUCCCACUUUGGAGAUAAGAUUUUGCCUUUUCAGUGGUUUCGCCAACAGCUUUGUCAAAUCGUUGACCCUCAUUUUCCACGGCUCUGACGAUUUCUGCAUUCUUCUGUUCCAAUCUGGAAGAUGCCUGACGAUUAUGGCGAGUCAUAUAAUAACCAACACCAACAGCAGCGGCCAAGGCUCCAAGAGUAACACGCCUAUUCAUGAUGCUCGAUUAGGAUUUCGUGAAUUAACCGAGUAAAAAAAAAUUAAUAAAUCGAAAGGUUAUAUAAAAGCGGUUUUCUCCGUACAACACAAAGGAUUGAUAUAAUAUUCAAUCGAGCGCACGAAAAAAAAUUAGAUUU